UCCGUUAUGGUCUAGGUAAGCUCAAUCACCUCCUUCAUCGAUGACUCCAACUAACAAAAAAAAGUGGCUAGGAUACAUCGCUCUCAUAGCAAGCGCCGAUGUGGCCGGGGUUCGAUUCCCCGUGACGGAA
rnacentral:tRNA from 1 species